UAGGGCUGGCUGACUAAGUGCACGAGGUCCUGAGAGGCAGCUCCAGCACAGCAGGCUAUUGGGGAGGGAGGAAGCACAUCUGCCUCUGGCCUAGACUGUCUGCCCACACAUUCAGAGGAAAGUUCCGUGACCUGGCAAUCAUCUGGAGGUCUGGGAGACUCUCGUGUCCGCUACGUUCUUCUCUUUGCAGACUCAACAUGAAGUCUACCCAGUGCCGAUGACAUUCCCACUAAGAUGAGGCCAGCCCAUGCAGACCUGAACACAGAACCAGACAGGACAUGUGCAAAGAAAAACUCCGUUUGCCCUUCUAGAGCAAAGGCCAUGGUUCAUUUUUGAACAACAGAGAUGAAGCUUUCACAGGAAACUAGGCUGGUGCCUACUGUACACGGUUGACAUUUAUUUUACAUAAAGAAUAUAUUAAGUCCUCACAAAGCCAGGUUUUAAAAAAGGCAUCUAAUAAAUUUAUACAGUGAA